UGAGGAAUAUUGGUCAAUGGGCGAGAGCCUGAACCAGCCAAGUCGCGUGAAGGAAGAAGGAUCUAUGGUUCGUAAACUUCUUUUGCAGGGGAAUAAAGUGCGGGGCGUGUCCUGUUUUGUAUGUACCCUGAGAAUAGGGAUCGGCUAACUCCGUGCCAGCAGCCGCGGUAAUACGGAGGAUCCGAGCGUUAUCCGGAUUUAUUGGGUUUAAAGGGUGCGUAGGUGGUUUGAUAAGUCAGCGGUGAAAGUUUGCAGCUUAACUGUAAAAAUGCCGUUGAAACUGUCGGACUUGAGUGUAAAUGAGGUAGGCGGAAUGCGUGGUGUAGCGGUGAAAUGCAUAGAUAUCACGCAGAACUCCGAUUGCGAAGGCAGCUUACUAAGCUACAACUGACACUGAAGCACGAAAGCGUGGGGAUCAAACA
rnacentral:rRNA from 1 species